rnacentral:tRNA from 1 species
GGGGACGUAGCUCAAUUGGUUAGAGCACGCGCCUGUCACGCGCGAGGUUACGGGUUCGAGCCCCGCCGUCCCCG